rnacentral:rRNA from 1 species
CGCAGCCGCGGUAAUUCCAGCUCCAAUAGCGUAUAUUAAAGUUGUUGCAGUUAAAAAGCUCGUAGUUGAAUUUCGGGAUCAAUACGUCGGUCGUGCUUCGGUACGUACUGGCGUCAUUGAUUUCUCCCUUCUGACGAACCAUGAUGUCAUUAACUUGGUGUCAUGGGAAAUCAGGACUGUUACUUUGAAAAAAUUAGAGUGUUUAAAGCAGGCUCACGCUUGAAUACAUUAGCAUGGAAUAAUGAAAUAGGACGUUCGAUCCUAUUUUGUUGGUUUUUAGGAUCAACGUAAUAAUUAAUAGGGAUAGUUGGGGGCAUUAGUAUUCAAUUGUCAGAGGUGAAAUUCUUGGAUUUAUUGAAGACUAACUACUGCGAAAGCAUUUGCCAAGGAUGUUUUCAUUAAUCAAGAACGAAAGUUAGGGGAAUCGAAGACGAUCAGAUACCGUCGUAGUCUUAACCAUAAACUAUGCCGACUAGGGAUCGGGAUGACGUUAAUUUUUUAAUGACUCAUUCGGCGCCUU